rnacentral:rRNA from 1 species
AUACGGAGGGUGCAAGCGUUGUUCGGAAUCACUGGGCGUAAAGGGCGCGCAGGCGGAUUGGUCAGUCAGAUGUGAAAGCCCACGGCUUAACCGUGGAAGUGCAUUUGAAACUGCCAUUCUUGAGUACCAGAGGGGAAAGUGGAAUUCCCGGUGUAGAGGUGAAAUUCGUAGAUAUCGGGAGGAAUACCGGUGGCGAAGGCGACUUUCUGGCUGGAUACUGACGCUGAGGCGCGAAAGCGUGGGGAGCAAACAGGAUUAGAAACCCUAGUAGUCC